rnacentral:rRNA from 1 species
AGUGAACGCUGGCGGUAGGCCUAACACAUGCAAGUCGAACGGCAGCACAGUAAGAGCUUGCUCUUACGGGUGGCGAGUGGCGGACGGGUGAGGAAUACAUCGGAAUCUACUUUUUCGUGGGGGAUAACGUAGGGAAACUUACGCUAAUACCGCAUACGACCUACGGGUGAAAGCAGGGGAUCUUCGGACCUUGCGCGAUUGAAUGAGCCGAUGUCGGAUUAGCUAGUUGGCGGGGUAAAGGCCCACCAAGGCGACGAUCCGUAGCUGGUCUGAGAGGAUGAUCAGCCACACUGGAACUGAGACACGGUCCAGACUCCUACGGGAGGCAGCAGUGGGGAAUAUUGGACAAUGGGCGCAAGCCUGAUCCAGCCAUACCGCGUGGGUGAAGAAGGCCUUCGGGUUGUAAAGCCCUUUUGUUGGGAAAGAAAAGCAGCAGGUUAAUACCCCGCUGCUCUGACGGUACCCAAGGAAUAAGCACCGGCUAACUUCGUG